UACGGAGGGUGCAAGCGUUGUCCGGAAUCACUGGGCGUAAAGGGCGCGUAGGCGGCUUUGUAAGUCAGGGGUGAAAGCCUGGAGCUCAACUCCAGAACUGCCUUUGAGACUGCAUUGCUCGAAUUGUGGAGAGGUAAGUGGAAUUCCGAGUGUAGAGGUGAAAUUCGUAGAUAUUCGGAAGAACACCAGUGGCGAAGGCGGCUUACUGGACACAUAUUGACGCUGAGGUGCGAAAGCGUGGGGAGCAAACAGG
rnacentral:rRNA from 1 species